GCUAACUGGGGGUGGGCGGCUGGGGUAAGACGGAGGGGGGAGGCGUGGUCCGGAAGGAUGGGGGGGAAAGGUGUCGGAGGGGGCGGGGCGCGUCUGGAGGGAAAGCCCGGGGCGUGAGCCCGGGCGUGCAGUGGAGACGGGCCGGCGGGAGGCAGGCAGGGGAGAAUGGAAUUCCCGGUGUAGCGGUGAAAUGCGCAGAUAUCGGGAGGAACACCGGUGGCGAAGGCGGUUCUCUGGGCCUGUACUGACGCUGAGGAGCGAAAGCGUGGGGAGCGAACAGGAUUAGAUACCCCGGUAGUC
rnacentral:rRNA from 1 species